AAGCAGAUCAGGAGUUUUGGGGCCGGGGGAGGGAGGAAUGGGGAGUGAGCGCUUUGGUGCAGGGCUUCCUUCCGGGGAGGGAAAUAUUCUGAGCUAGACAGUGGUGAUGGUUGCACAGCAUUGUGAAUGUAUUUAAUGCUAUGAAUUGUUUAACACAGUGAAAUGCUUAAAUUUAUUAUAUUUAAAUUUUGAAUCACAAAGUAUAAAAAACCAUAAGAGAGUAAAAGGAAAAAAUAAAAUAAAACCCAAACAAAAACAAUAACCAGGGAGGGAAAGGAAGGUUCUGGUGAGGGAGCAGGUUGAAGCUGUGGCGCAGGAGCUGGCGCUGACGGCAGUUCCAGAGCUGGCUCUCCCUGCAGGGGUCGUGGGUCCUGAGCUGGCUCAGGGUCUCCUUCUCCUGCAGGAGCAGGAGCUGGUCCAGGUGAGGCUUCUCCUGCAGAAGUCCUGAGUCCUAAGCAGCUGAGGGUCUCCUGCAGGAGCAGGUGCAGGUGAGGUGAUGGUUCUCCCUGCAGGGAUGGUGGGUCCUGAGCUGGCUCUCAGCUUCCUUUAGAAGCUGCUCCAGAUGCCGGCCCUCAUCCCAGCACUGCUGAUGGAACCAAUAUCGGUGCUGCCUGCAGCUCUGGAGCAGCUGCUGCAGGUGGUACUACAGCUGAAGGUGGACGUUCCUCCGGCUCUGGAGCGGGCUUUACUUCUGCACUGGCUUCUGCACCUGUACCUGGCUCCUCAGAAUGUAGGGGAACCGGAGCUGGAGCCAGUGCGAAGUACUGAGAUGGUGCUGGAACUACAGGAGGAGAAAAGAUGCCCCCCGCCUGCUCUCCAUGUGCCUUCCCAAAGACAGAACACAUCCCAGAGCCUUCCAGAGAAGCUCCAGCCCAGGAACCCACAACACGACAUCUUUCCUGACCGCAGUCCGCCAGAGGGGUGGUCUGAGGCCAGUCUUUGCUCCAGGCCAACACUGCAGUCUGGGGGAUUCUUUCCUGUGUGUCCAGCACCAACCCCUCCUGAUAUGCUCACAUGUACCCACCCCAGGCUUUCUCACUCUUGGGCUCUGCCUCAGUGGGCUCCAGGUACCCCAGCGGGGUCAGGAGAAGUUGGACACGGUGCUCCAGGUCAGAGCCAGGCACACUGAGCAGCACCAUUGGCUGAUGUAGGCUGGCAAAGUCUGAGGUUGAUGGCAGUCUUCUGGGUACUGGUCCAGCCAGGUGCCCAGGAUGGAGGAGAUGGCACUGGAGGUAGGUGGGUGGGCAGGAGAGUUGGAGGCCUGGCCUCUCCUUCCACGUGGCCCUCCCUUGGCACCCCUGUGGGGGCUGGGCUCCUGGGCCCCCCUGCCCAUCCAGAGGCCAGUCCACCCCAGCCCACCCCCACGUGACGGUCCAGCAGGGGCAGGCCUGGUCAGCAGGCUGGCCUGCGAAGUCUCCAUGGGAGGGAGCCCUCCGUCAACGCUGGGACCACCUCUCCCUUCCUCGGGGAACCCGACGCACUCCUGCCUGUCCCCCGGCCGCUCCCCACUGGAAUGUCAACUCCACGAGGACAGGGAGGGCGGUGCCUGCUCUGUUCAUCGCACUGGCAGGCGCGCAGUAAGUGCUGCACGCACAUGUGAGGGAGGAGGGACCAGGCGGAGUGUGUCCUGCUGCCCAGCCUUCACGGGGCCCUCGUGGCACCUCAGCCUGCCGCUCAUACACCGCUGUGCUGUCUUACUCUCUGCGAGGCCUGUGUGGGUCUCGUCUCCCCCCUGACACUAUCCUUGGGAAUGGGGACACAGCCGGCCCAGCCCCACAUGCAGCUGGCCUUGCAGGACUGAGGCACCAGGCUGAUGCGUGAGCAGGUGGCUCCCCACACCUCCUUCCUGGGCCCUCGGCUCAGGGGGUGCUGAGCAGGGCUGGGAUGGGCUGUGGUGGGGUUGGAUUCUCUCAGGGGCCAGCUCUGAGGCCCCAGCCUCUUCUCUGCUCCACAGGGGGCCCGGGACCCCAUCUGCGGCUCUCUGACUCCUUUCCUUCUACAGGAGAAGCCUCCGUACCUCAGCCCUCUAGCAGGAAUCACGAAAUGCGUGGGAGCCAGGGUGUUAUGCCCCGCCCCCCAGCCACAGACCUCAGAUGUCCCCCACCUUGGAGACACAAGCCCUUCUUCUUGACUCAAAGCCCAGUCAUUUCCUGCUCGGUCCUGGGGUCUGCUGUCCUUGUCGCAAUCAGGAUGAAAGAAUCCACAUCUAGAGGAGGCCAGGAGGGCAUUGCAUACACCUGCUCUGAUGUCUAGUGGGACUGGCUGACUCCCCAAUCAGACUGGAGCCCAGGAGGACACGGGUUUUCGUGUCUGUAUAUGGCGGGUUGGGGGGCUUUAUAUACAUUUGCUGAAUGAAUGAAGCCCAACCAGCACCUUGCUGACAUCUGAGUGGGCCUGGGCCCCGGGCAGCCCCCAGGGCUCCCUGCUCUGCCUGCACCCAGGCUGGGACCCCCCCAGGGAAUUGGAAGGCUCCUUUAGAAAUGGGAAAGCAGCUGUGUCCAAGGCCACAGGGUGCUGAGGCUUGAGGCAGAGAGCUUCACGGGGGAGAGGAAAGUCCUAAAUCAGGACAACCACAGCCCUCGGCAGCCCUCCCCACAGGGCCAGGCCUGAGCAAACUGAGGCUCAGAGAGGUGAAGGGACACUCCCAAGACACACAGCCAGGAGGUGGGCAGGGAGCCACGGUGCUGUGCAGGGGCGGGGCGCCCACCUUUUGAACAGCAGGUCCAGGACCUGUUGGGUGGUGAAGGCUCGGCAGGUGCACAGGAGGAGGGUGACACAGGAGAGGUCGCUGCCCUGGAAGGCAGGCACCAGGCGCUCCACAGCUUCUCCAGGGUAUCUGCACUGACUGUCCCCACCCUGCGGGUCUCAUCCAGGUUCAAGGCCCACUCAUUUUCACACUGGGACUCAUUUUCGGACAAAGAGGGACAACUCAAAAAAUGGACUGUAGAAAAAUACUUGUGUUCACAUCCUGAAGUGCAACAGUGUAUAAAAGAUUGGUUCUGACAAUCUUGCAACCAUGUGAAAAGUGACUUUGCACCUGCCCAAGGCUGGGGCUGAACGGCGAGGGCAGAGGACGGGAGGAACUCAUACUCCAUGGGUUGGGGCUGUGGCCACUCAGGGGCAAAGCCCUUGGCAGAACCCUGGGUAGUCACUUGGGUGGCUUCUAGGCAAGAGGCCUUCCCCAGCCACCUCUGGGCCCUGGUUCUAGAGACCUCUCCAAGCCUGCACUCACCCGGAGCCACCCCGCUGGUGGUGUGGUACACCUGCCCCUCACUCAGGGAGACAGCGUGAGUGUCCCCAUCCAGUAGCUCCUCCCUGAUCUCCUGCGUGGAGCUCUGCAAAGACGGUGACCAGCAGCCGGCCCCCAGGCAUCAGAGCCCUGCCUGGCCUCAUCCCUGCUUCUUUUGCCCACUGACCUUCUGCUCCCAGAUCAGGCACAGACCUCCACCUGGGAUGAAAGAGAGACAUCUUGAGGGCUCAGGAUAAUCCUGGGACAGAAGAGUGAAACUCCAGCACUCCAUGUCCCGCCCAGCCAGCCUUGACCUGGGGUGUGAACUUGAUCUGCCCACCAGGCUUCCAACCCCUCAUCAUCCCUCUUGCUUGGGGCAAGCCCACCCCAAGAGCGCGCGCGCACACACACACACACACAUGGGGAGGGGAGGUGGGGCUGCCCAGGUGGGAUCAGAGUGGUGACCCGGCCUGGACUGGUCUGUCCUGGCUCUCCCCAUGUUACCUUUGGGUCCUUUCAGGCAAAUGGCCAGAAGCGUCUGAGGUGAGACCUGACAACGUCUGCAGCGUCGGAAGAUGCUCUCACUGCGGGCGUUUUUGAAGCCACAGCCUCGGGACAUGGGGAUACAGCAAGAGAGCGUGCUGCUCUCCAGAGCGUGUCCAGCCAAGUGAGCUGGGUAGGGAGCUGUCUCUAGGAUGUGCGUGUCUGGGGCAGACCCCGGGAACCUUGGGGACCCCCUGCCCAUCAGCGUGGCAUCUCUCCCCCUCCCCAUGCUAUGGGUCCCAGGCACAUGGCAGGGGACCGGCUGCCCCUGCCCCCUGGCAGAGCUGCCUCCACCUCCUGCUUCUUUCCCCUGUCACCUCCCAGUGUCCAUUUCCCUUCCAGACCCCACUCGGGCAGUCAGUGUGUGUGUGUGUGUGUGUGUGCGUGUGUCUGUGCCCAUGUGGGGAUGCCCAGAGGAAAGAGCCCCACAUAGGAGGGGGUGGGAAGGGGUCUCCCAGGAUAUUAGGGUCUCUCAUUCCCAAAGUAAAUCUUAUGGGAAGGUUGGAACCCUCCCUUCUCUGGGGUCUACCCAUCUUUUGGACCCCAGGCCAGACCCUGCCUUUCCCGGCCUCAGUUUCCCAAUUGUCUCAUGAAGGUUUGGAUGAGGAACAGCAUUAGUCCGGCUCAGCGUGGGCGGCCCGGGGCUCCGGCUCCCGGGCUGAGAGCGGCAAGAGAGCGCUCCCUGAGGGCGCGGACUUCCCACUAACUGGCAUGGACCCUGCGGUGGCGCGCGCACACCGGCCAACAGACAGCGCGCGCACGUGACCCCGCCCCACGGCGGGUUCGCCACAAAGCACCAACGGUUCCCCACGGGGCUACCGUUGUCCCCCUGGUACCCAGUGUCCCCAUCUCCAACUGCUGCUCUGUGACCCCCACGUCCCCUUUAGCCUGGGGCAACCCCCACCCCAGCCAGGCCAGCCUGCGGACUAGGAGCUGGGGACACGGGGUCCAGCCCUUUGAGCCUCUUCAUCUCCUGCUUUAAUCCCAGCACACCCUCCCGAGGGUGGAGUCACUGACCCCAUUCUCAGUGGAGGAAACUGAGGCUGGAGAACUCACCACAUGAGCUGGCCUGUCCCAGGGCCGGGGCAUGGCCCAGCUGGGGUCGCAACCUAGGUCAAUCUGACCCCAAAGGCUGUGCUUACACAGGAGCCCGAGGAGGUGCCUCUGAGCCCAGCCUUGGAGGUUCACACGGGUGAUGCAGCGUCACUCAGCCUCUGGAUGGAGAGCAGCAGCGAGGAGCUGUGCUCACAGACCCUGAGACACAGCGCCCGUGUGUGCCCGAGGCUGCCAAGGCGUGGUGGAGGCUGGGGAGGAGGAGGUGCUGCUGGAGGCCAAGCUGAUGCCAGAGAUCAUCGGGGACCAUGCGGAGGGGGCUCCAGCACAAAGCUCAUGUUGAUCUCCUCCAUUUUGGAGCUGGAGCAGCUGGCCGAGAGCAUGCUGAGCAGGUGGGCCAUGUCUCCGUUGCUCAGCACAUCCACUUUACCAGGAGAAAACCAGCAGCGUUUGUGACUAAUGACAAAAGGGGAGAGAUGAGAGACGGCACCCCAGCCUGACAGGCAACGCAGGGCUGGAGGGAGGACAGGGGGCGAUGCGGGCAGCGCUGACCCUCUUGGCCCUGGGAUCUCCGUCCCCAGAGCCUUCCAGGUGCCCAUCAGCCCCUCCAGUGGUACCUGCGGAGCUCCUGCUGCAGGUGCAGAGCGCUCGUGCCUCAGGGACCAGCCGUUGUGUUGGGAGGAGCACCUUCUUCAUCUCAGCAACCACGUGAGACCAGAGCUAGAAGGUCCUUCUCCAAUCCUCCCAGUGGUUCUCACCUGGGUGCCCUGGGCAUGGGGUGGAGGGUGGGGACAAUGCUUCAGUCUGUGGCAUGUCCCGCCCCCCCUUACAUGACAGUGGUCUCCCCAACACCCCAGGCACUGGGUCAGCCCAAAGUGCCUCCAUGCAUUUCCCAAAGCCCUGGAGAGACAGUGCCGGCCAGGACGGGGGUGAAAACCUGGCCAGGUUCAGCAGGUAGAAGCUUCCAGGAACACUUUUCCUGACCCUGAGUCCAUGCCAACUGUACCUAUGAGUUGGGGGGCAUUGGUGACACUUCCUGCACCUCCAGUUCCCAGACAGACGUGGGGACAGUGCUCCUUCCAGGGCGGGGCUUCCGUGAAGUUAAGUGAGAUGGAUGCAGGUGGAGCAGGCGGCCCAGCACCUGCUGUCACGGUGAGUGGAAUCAGCACGGAAAGUCAAACACGGAGACACGGGGGGCCCUGCACCUCGGACUCUCCCGAGGACAUGACUGAUACAAUCCAGGCCUUCCCGCUUCUCUCAAAUAUGAGUGCCUGCCACGUCCUCCCCACAGCCCUGGGAGCUCGAUUCUUCCCACGUGGACCAGGGAGUUCUGGGUUCAGGGCCGAGCUGUUUCUGGAGCUUUCACAAGUGGGUGGGGGGAGGGAGGUCGCUGCUGCCUCCUGCUCCGGGCUUGGUCCAGGACCCCAGAGGCAGCCCUGAGCCGGACCGCCCGUGCUUCUGUGGCUGUGCGCCUUCACGCGUGGAGCCACGGAAUGGAGAAGGGGUCUCCGAGCCUUCAGCAGGCUUCUUCAACACAGCUUUCAGCUAGAAACCGCCCGGCACCACAGUUAGUGGACAUUUUUGUGGAUGUCACUCUUGAUUUUAAGACAAGCCACAAACUGGGACAAAAUAUUUUUAAAACACAUAUCUGGUAAAGAACUGGUAUUCGAAUAUACAAAGAACUCGAAACUCAACAAGAAAACAAACCACCCAAUUAAAAAAAUGGGCCAAAGAUCUGGACAGACACCUCACCGGAGAAGAUACACAGACAGCAAAUAAGUACAUGGAAAGAAACUGCCCAUCAUAUGCCACCAGGGCUUUGCAAAUUGAAACAACAAUGAGGUACCACUACACACCUAUUAGAACGGCUAAAAGCCCGAAUGCUGACACCAUGAAAUGCUGGCAAGGACGUGGAGCAUCAGGAAAGUCACGGCUGGUGGGAAUGCAAAACGGCGCAGCCACUUCGGGAGGCAGUUUGGUGGUUUCUUAUGAAAUUAAACAUAUCUUAACAUAAGAUCCAACUAUUGAGUUCCUUGGUAUUUUCCCAAGAGUUGAAAAUUUAUGUCCACACAGAAACCCACACAAGAAUGAUCAUAGUAGCUUUAUUUCAAACAGCCCCAAACUGCAAAGAACCCAAACGUCCUUCAAUAGGUGAAUGGUUAAAUGCACUGUGGUCCCUCCAGACCAUGGAAUACUACUCAGCAACAAAAAAGGACGAACUCUCCCUACACACAAAUCUCAGAAGGUCAC
rnacentral:lncRNA from 1 species